UCAGUGGUUAAGAGCUAUACUGCCUUAGUU
rnacentral:piRNA from 1 species